GAUGAACGCUAGCGGGAGGCUUAACACAUGCAAGUCGAGGGGCAGCAUAGGGUAGCAAUACUCUGAUGGCGACCGGCAAACGGGUGAGUAACGCGUAUGCAACCUACCCUGUACAGGGGGAUAACCCGGAGAAAUUCGGACUAAUAUCCCGUAAUAAUAUCCGGAGGCAUCUUUGGAUAUUUAAAGUUUCGACGGUACGGGAUGGGCAUGCGUAACAUUAGCUGGUUGGUAAGGUAACGGCUUACCAAGGCUAUGAUGUUUAGGGGUCCUGAGAGGGUGGUCCCCCACACUGGUACUGAGACACGGACCAGACUCCUACGGGAGGCAGCAGUGAGGAAUAUUGGUCAAUGGGCGCAAGCCUGAACCAGCCAUCCCGCGUGCAGGAAGGCGGCCCUAUGGGUUGUAAACUGCUUUUCCAGGGAGAGAAACUUACGCACGUGUUGCGUGACUGACGGUACCCUGGGAAUAAGCAUCGGCUAACUCCGUG
rnacentral:rRNA from 1 species